AGCCGCGGUAAUACGUAGGUGACGAGCGUUAUCCGGAAUUAUUGGGCGUAAAGCGCGCGCAGGCGGCUGCCUAAGUCUGACGUGAAAGCUCCUGGCUUAACUGGGAGAGGACGUUGGAAACUAAGUGGCUUGAGGCAAGGAGAGGGGUGCAGAAUUCCCGGUGUAGUGGUGGAAUGCGUAGAUAUCGGGAGGAAUACCAGAGGCGAAAGCGGCACCCUGGACUUGAACUGACGCUGAAGUGCGAAAGCGUGGGAAGCAAACGGGAUUAGAUACCCUGGUAGUCC
rnacentral:rRNA from 1 species